AGAGCGUAGGGAGAAUGCCUUGGCAUUAGGAGCCGAUGAAGGACGUGAUAAGCUGCGAUAAGCUGCGGGGAUCAGCAAGUAUGAAUUGAUCCGCAGAUUUCCGAAUGGAGCAAUCCGUAUGUGUAUGCACAUACAUCAUAUACUGAAUCAAAUAGGUAUAUGAGGGGAACCGCCUGAACUGAAACAUCUAAGUAGGGCGAGGAAGAGAAAUCAACCGAGAUUCUGUGAGUAGUGGCGAGCGAAAGCGGAAGAGGCUAAACCAUAGGUAGCAAUACUUAUGGGGUUUCGGACAGCAUUUAGCAUUGAUAAUUUCUAGUUGAAACGUGUGGGAAAACGUACCGAGGAGUGUGAGAGUCACGUAAGCGAAAGAGAAAGUCAGCGAGCUGUAUCCAAAGUACCGCGGGACACGUGAAACCCCGUGGGAAGAUGGGGGGACCAUCCUCCAAGCCUAAAUACUACCUAAUGACCGAUAGCGAAUAGUACUGUGAAGGAACGGUGAAAAGAACCCCGGGAGGGGAGUGAAAAAGAACCUGAAACCCUAUGCUUACAAGCACCGAGAGCACGUCAAAGUGUGAUCGGGUACCUUUUGUAGAAUGGUCCGGCGAGUUAUUGUAUGCGGCAAGGUUAAGUGCUUAAGGCACGGAGCCGAAGCGAGAGCAAGUCUGAAUAGGGCGAAAGAGUCGUAUGCAAUAGACCCGAAACCGAGUGACCUAUCCAUGUCCAGGCUGAAGUGGAGGUAAAACUCCAUGGAGGGCCGAACACACGUCCGUUGAAAAGGCCGGUGAUGAGGUGUGGAUAGCGGAGAAAUUCCAAUCGAACUCGGAUAUAGCUGGUUCUCUCCGAAAUAGCUUUAGGGCUAGCCUCGUGAAAGAUUACUGGAGGUAAAGCACUGAAUGGGCUAGGGGUCGAAAGAUUACUGAACCCUAUCAAACUAAGAAUGCCAGAUAAUUGAUUCACGGGAGUCAGACAAUGUGAGAUAAGUCUCAUUGUCAAAAGGGAAACAGCCCAGACCCACAGCUAAGGUCCCUAAACAUUGUUAAGUGGAAAAGGAUGUGGGGUUGCAUAAACAACCAGGAUGUUGGCUUAGAAGCAGCCACUCAUUAAAAGAGUGCGUAAUAGCUCACUGGUCGAGUGACCCUGCGCCGAAAAUUCAACGGGGCUAAACAAUGUACCGAAGCUUGGGAUUCUAAAGUAAUUUAGAGUGGUAGGAGAGCGUCGAAUAAGGGGUGAAGUCAGAGCGGAAGCGCUGGUGGACUUUAUUCGAGUGAGAAUGCCGGAAUGAGUAGCGAGAAUUAUGUGAGAAUCAUAAUGGCCGAAAAUCUAAGGUUUCCUGAGGAAGGUUCGUCCGCUCAGGGUAAGCCGGGGGCUAAGGCGAGGCGGAGACGCGUAGCCGAUGCACAUACGGUUGAAAUUCCGUAGCCACCGAAAGAUUUAAGUACAGGGACGCUUUAGAAGUGAUGUAGCCGGGCGAUGGUUGACCCGGUCGUAAGGGAUCGAAAAUGAGUAGAGAAGUCAUCAUGGAAAGAGACAAGAAAAGCUGUAUGAAUAUCUUAGGUGCCCGUACCGCAAACCGACACAGGUAGAUAGGAAGAAGAUUCUAAGGCCAACGGGAGAAGGGUUGUUAAGGAACUCGGCAAGUUGACCCCGUAACUUAGGGAUAAGGGGUGCUCAAGUGAUUGAGCCGCAGAGAAUAGGCCCAGGCGACUGUUUAGCAAAAACACAGGUCUCUGCUAAAUCGAAAGAUGACGUAUAGGGGCUGACACCUGCCCGGUGCCGGAAGGUUAAGAGGAGAUGUGAGAGCAUUGAAUUGAAGCCCCGGUAAACGGCGGCCGUAACUAUAACGGUCCUAAGGUAGCGAAAUUCCUUGUCAGGUAAGUUCUGACCCGCACGAAAGGUGUAACGAUCUGGGCACUGUCUCAACAACCCGCCCGGCGAAAUUGUAGUACCGGUGAAGAUGCCGGUUACCCGCGACUAGACGGAAAGACCCCAUGGAGCUUUACUGUAGCCUAAUAUUGGAUUUCGGUAUUUCACGUACAGGAUAGGUGGGAGACUGGGAAGCACAGGCGUCAGCUUGUGUGGAGUCGACCUUGGGAUACCACUCUUGGAGUGCUGGAAUUCUAACCUGCGGCUUUGAAGCAAGUCGGGGGACAUUGUUAGGUGGGCAGUUUGACUGGGGCGGUCGCCUCCUAAAGAGUA
rnacentral:rRNA from 1 species